UUUUUUUCCUUUUUCUUACGCUCUUCUUCUUCCUCCCAGUUCUCCAAGUAGGACCUGAGAAUGACAUUUAGCUGCUGCUCACACUGGCUUGCGUGUUGUAAGCCAUUUUCCCAUCCUGAAAGCAGCAAUAAACAGGGUAAUUACAUCUCUCUCUACAGCAUCCAUCACAGAAUCAGCCCCUGGCAGUGCCAGCAUAUAGUUUCCCAAGAGUAUUGACUGGCUGUGGUAUUUCUGGUUGGAAAAUGGCUCUGUGGAGUUCAAUCAUCAACAAGAUGCUUUCUUUGAUGUCAGCCAAGCAGGAAAUACCAGCACAAUUAUCACUACAGUGGAAGAGCAUUAUUGGUUUUGGAGGAAGAACCCAUAAAAGCCUCAGCAACCCACCCCAGCAGUAUCCUGUCCACAGCAACAUUGGUGGAAGAAGCAAUGAGGAGUUUCCAUGGAACUGCCCUCGGACCCUCUGUAGCUUCACUGCUUUCAAAGAGCUGCACGAGGAACAGGAUCACCACAGACAGCAAGUAGCUCUUGCCAGCUCCAAAAACACCUGGUAUUUUGGAGGAAAAAGCUCAAGUUACAAGUGAGAAUUUCCAAGAAAGUUUGAAUCAAUUGUUUUAACUUCAGUUAUGUUGUGAUUCCUCUAAAAAAUUGCAUGGGAUUGCUUACACUUACAAAAACAAAGAUAAUACAUGGAAAAAAAAUGGUAUGAAAUAUGAAAAAAGCUGAAAACAAUAAAUAACUCUGAUUUUGUGUAUAGGUAUUUCUAGGUACAACCUCCUAUGCUUCAGUGAAAUCCUGCAAAAGGCAGAAUGAAAUUUUAAUUUAAUUUAAAGGGGCAAAAGCUCUGUGCUGACAGAAUGGAGGUAUUAAUGUCACAGUCAUUAUGAGAGGGGCUGAUUCUGGCAUUCCAUAUUAACGGCAUUUCCCAUUAAUCAACGCAGAUAGAGUAGCAGCAGAUGUCACAAUUCCUGGCUGCGUACCACGUAUGAUUGUGAUGGGGCAGCUCUGAUGUUCCUGCCCUGGUGUGGGGUUUUCACAGGUCAUCAUCUGAGCUACGUGAGCCAGUGCUGCUGCUUGGUCUGCGUUCAGGGAGAACCUUUGGAUCAUCUCUUCAGCCACUCCCACUGCCACUUCCGAGCUCACAGGGCCAGACGUCACGGAGCAUUUCACACUCAGGGCAGAAAGAAACCUUUACUCUUUAAAUGUAGAGAAAACGUGUUAAAUUCUGCUGAAGCCCUGAGCUACUGGAAUAUUUAUAAAGCUUGAAUUCACACAGCACUUGAGAGAAGUGCACAGCAUUUGAAGAUACCUCACCAAAAGCUGGCAUUCCUCAUAGACAGCAAUCUUUUGACUCCUGAGUGCAGUGAACAAAGGAGCAGAAAAAACCAAGUCACGCCUUGCAAAGUUCUAUGACAAAGGCUGUUCAGCUAAAUUUGGAAGGCUUUGAGCAUUCCAGUCCUUUGUAUCAUUUACAUUUCCCUGCACAAAAGGCAGGUGCUGAGUAUCUGGAAGGAGUUCUUUAGCAGAGUCGCCUGAAAAAACAGCUGUCACCGCAGGGAGCUGAGAGCAGCGAGGACACAGACGUUUGUUCCCUGCCAUUGUCCCUACAGCCCUCUUCCUGAGUGCCUGCAGAGGGAUUUGUUCCUGCGUCCUUCCUGCGAACCGUGGAAAACAACGGAGAGCUGAUAUAAAACUGGGAUGGAAAACCCCCUUGGCACUCCUUGGAUGAAGGCAACACUGCUGGUUUCCCUUCAUCUUCCACAGCUGGUGUUAAAAAUGGGGCACACUACACUGUGAUCAAACGGCCUGAGAAUCUAUUCUGAUCAAACCCACACGAGGAUUCACAGGGGCACAGAAACAACCUCAAGCCCUUCUGACUUCUACUGCAGGCAACACCAAUCCUGCUAAACCCAAUCUCCUAAAUGUGGAAAAAAUACAAUCUGGAUUACAGCUUAAAAAAAAAAAAAAAGAGAGAAAAGAAAAAAAAAAGGAAGAAAUUAUCUAUAUAUUUACCAUUCAUGAAAAUAUGUGUUUUACACUGCAUGUAAUCAUGAGACAUAAAAAACUGGAACAACAACACACCGUAAACUUCCUUUUCAAGCCGACAGGGAGAUGUCUUGGGGGUAGAAGACCAGGUUUGACACCAUUUCUAUUCAUUGCUGGAGUUUCUGCUUUCUUUGGCUGCUCUUCUGAGGGCUUUUCACUCUCUCUGACUGCUUCAACUGUGAUUAAAUAUCGCUCACUUUCGAAAUCCUCUCCAGGAGUCACCU